rnacentral:rRNA from 1 species
UACGUAGGGAGCGAGCGUUGUCCGAAGUUACUGGGCGUAAAGGGCUCGUAGGCGGCCAACUAAGUCCGACGUGAAAUCCCUCGGCUUAACCGGGGAACUGCGUCUGAUACUGGAUGGCUUGAGUUCGGGAGAGGGAUGCGGAAUUCCAGGUGUAGCGGUGAAAUGCGUAGAUAUCUGGAGGAACACCGGUGGCGAAGGCGGCAUCCUGGACCGAUACUGACGCUGAGGAGCGAAAGCCAGGGGAGCAAACGGG